rnacentral:misc_RNA from 1 species
AUUAUUUCAUAGCUCAUGGAAUCUGCAUCCGAAGUAUUGUUAUCGAAACUAUUUUGGCAAAGAAAAUCAAAGACAAAACAGAAUUGAAUAAACCCUUUAUACAGUUUCAUCAAUCGUACUUUUUUAUAUAUUAGAAGUAAUAAAUAUUACUGUUCUCAGGGACGGACAAGCCCCAAAAACAGGAAUUAAGCAAGCUCUAAGGUCUGUCAAUGGUUGUGUAAUCUAUAAACGAAAGUACACAACCUUUCCUCUGCCUUCAUUGAACACCACAAAAAUUUUACCUUCAAAAAAAUUAUAUAUGCAAUGUUUCUUAUUUGAUAUAUAGAACUCUACCAAUCUGUAAACUUUCUAAGAUUCAAGAGCGAAUGGUGUCUGCAACAGAUCGUAAGGAGCCCAGAGAGCAUCCAAA